AGGAGGGAGAUCGGACAAGA
rnacentral:snRNA from 1 species